CAUGCACCCUCGGGAGAGGGUAGAGUUUUGAUCCCAUUCUAUCCACUCCCCCGCCCACCUCCAUCGCCGGAAAGUUUAUCCGCCGCCCGGGAUAUUUUGGGAAUCCUCUUCUCCCUCCUCUCCCUCUCUCUUAGGGCCAGGGUUUCUGCCAUGAGAGGCGAGGACGAGCCAUCGCGGGUUCUCUACGAGCUCUGCUCCCUCCUCCUCUCCGUCCUCCGAUCCCCCCACCUCGCCGUCCCGGAGAUGCCGCCGCCGCCCCGGCCGGGAAGGCGGCCGCAGCCGCAGCUGUCGCCGGCGGGGCUGGCGUCGCUGCUGAUCGGGAUGUCGCUGGCCAUGAUGUUCUGCGGGUCAGUGACGUUCGUGAUCGGGUUCAUUCUGAUGCCCUGGGUGCUGGGGAUGGUGAUCGUGCUUUGUUUCCUUGGGAUCGUCUCCAAUCUCUUAGGGUUGGGGGCGCGCGAUCCUUUGCCUCGGCUUCCCCGCAGCGUGUAGAGUGUCAUCCAACGAGGCGCCAGGCCAGCUCUUUUCUAAACUUCCAAUUGAUGCCAUGCCAAGCUACAGCUGAGAUAGCAGUCGGCUCUCCUGUUUAUCAAGAGCCGUCGAAUUUUAUAUUGCUGGUCCUGGCCCACCGACGGUGGUACCAGAUGCCUCUACUCUCCUGUCUAAUGUCCAUCCAAAUGAUUGGUUAAAAUGUACGAGAUAAUAGCUAUUGUUUGGUUCCUGUAACAACUCAGGACCUGACCCAAAAAGAUUAGUCGAAAGGUAUGGAUUUUUUGAUCCUGUAUAAGUCUUCAAGAUUUAUCCAGCAAAUAACUGAUGUGAGACCAAACACACGCCUGCAUAAGUCUUCACAGUUCUUGCUCUAAAUUUCUCAUCUUUUUAUUAUAUUUUACAGCAACUUAGUCAGGAAAGAUAGAUGCAGGUGAUGGUUGGUGAAACUAUUUUUCCUUGGGUGCAGUCUUAGGUUGCCGGCAGCUCUCUGAGCUCAGACUGUUUCUCCUAGACUAGUGUCUUGGGUGCCCCCACCCUGCAACAUGCUUAAAAUCAACUUUGUACUUUAUGCUGACACUCCUCUCUCUGCUGCAACCUCAGUGCCAGAAGCGGAGCUUCAACCAGCAGGAUUUAUCUUGGAGGCGAUUCUUUUACGGUCGAACAGCAUCCAAAUGCCUAUGCGGUCUCUUUAUCCCCUGUUCACUGAUAUUGUCCACUUUAUUUCACUGUUGGAAUAUCUCAUUGCCUCCCAUACUCUUACAGAAGCUAACCAGCCAGCAGAUGGGUUAGCUCGACUUGCUGAUAAUUUUGUUUUCUACUCUGCUUCCAGUCUUCCUCAACAUAUUCGUGCUCUUAUCAUGGCUGACAUGGUAGGAGUCCAUUUCGCCGUCUGUAAAUGCUUUGAAUUCUUUCUUUUGUUCCUGUUGGGGCUCUAAUUCCCCCUGUGUACAUUUCCUUAUAUUAACGUUCAAAUCCAAGUUGUUCUCUCUCUGUAUCUUC